CCUCGAACAGGUGUUCCCCGAGCACGUUCCUCCAGCGGCCGUACAGGAAACUGUGCAGGAUGUCCGAUGUGAUGAUGUCGGACAGGGCCAGAGUCUGCUGCUUAAAUCCAGCCUUCAGAACCAAAGCAUCUGCAGGGUUGAUGGACUGAGACAAAAUGGGCAGUUUCCCCCCUUUCCAACUGGGAGGACAUCUUUAUUCCUUCCCCGGCUUGCGGGUUUCCUAUUCAGCUCUCUUUAAAAUAAUGCCGGCUGAAUGAAAAGUGCUGCAAAUCAAUCUUUCAUGGUGUUUUGAGGGCAAUUUGACAUCCAUGCACUCUUCUUUUCUUUGAGAUAAGUACAAGGGGAUGGCCCGAAAAAAAUCUGGACACGGAUGGGGUCUGGCGAGUGGGGAGAGCCACUAUAAGCCGCGAGCGAGAACUUCCACAGAGAGAUGCGAGGAGAGCGCUGACGCCGAGGAGAAUAUAGGACAAGCGUCGAGCAAAGGAGCUGCAAGAGGGUGGGAGAGCUGGCAAACUCACGCUACACUCCUCAAAACAGUCUCUCCAUUCUCCAACUGUUUGCCAUUUCAAGGUCCUUUCGCAUUUAUGCUGAAAGGACUCCAGCGUGGCUGAGAAUUAAUGGAUGGGCCAACAAAUAAAAAUCUCUGAAUACCAACUGUCACUUUUUAAUUUUUGCUGUUGCUCUUUGAGUGCCAAGUACAGAAUGUGUAAUAUGUUUCUAUGAGAGGAUUUAAAUAAAUUUCAAACAUUGCUAAGUCAAAAAUACCAGGGGUUUAUGAGUACACCAGUGGAGGGCUUUUUAACACCAGUCAGUCGUGCCUUUCAUGCUUUACUCAUAUUUUUUGUGUGCAAAGCAAUUGAGGCAGGACACAAGAUUGAGGCUAAAGUGCCACGGCCAAUGCGGAUUCUAUGCAGAAUUUGAAUGGAUUUAAUAAAUAAGUGGAUUAUUUAACAUAAUUUAAACUUUGCCUGUCAGAAUCAACAAAUACUUGCACCCCUUGUUGAGAAGUUGUAUAUUGUCAUGUUUAAUGAGUCAUACUGUAUGCAGCAAAAAAAAAAGUGUUAUUCAGAGACAUCUCUGAGCAGUUGAAUAUGCUGCUUUCCACCUGUGAAUACGAACCGAUCCAUAUCAAUGUCUUACAGGUUUAAUUAGCCAGAGAAUGCUGGCAUUCAAGCCCUCCAGGUGAGCCAUUACUCAAGCUAACGUGGCAGCCCUUUACUUUUCAAAUGCACUGCUUCUACAAUUAAGGCUCUUGACAUUUAUCUCGACAUAUACGAAUGACUUGGAAAACAAAAGGAAAUCUGAAAUUUGAAAAUUAUUGAGGGGGACGAGCUCAUCACAACCACCAAAAGAAAAUCCAUGUCUCUCUUUAAAUCUAUGCAUGCAUUAAACAGCCAAUUAUAGACUUUUCAGCUAAAUUAAAAAAAUCAAACAAAUAUGAG